rnacentral:siRNA from 1 species
AAAGACAUCCUAGUGAAUAAAU